UACGAAGGGGGCUAGCGUUGCUCGGAAUCACUGGGCGUAAAGCGCACGUAGGCGGAUUGUUAAGUCAGGGGUGAAAUCCUGGAGCUCAACUCCAGAACUGCCUUUGAUACUGGCGAUCUUGAGUCCGGGAGAGGUGAGUGGAACUGCGAGUGUAGAGGUGAAAUUCGUAGAUAUCGGGAGGAACACCAGUGGCGAAGGCGGCUCUCUGGACAGGUACUGACGCUGAGACGCGAAAGCGUGGGUAGCAAACAGG
rnacentral:rRNA from 1 species